GCAAGUCGCACGAGAACGCUUCAGCUUGCUGGAGCUAGUAAAGUGGCGCACGGGUGAGUAACGCGUGGGUAAUCUACCUCCGAAUUGGGGAUAACACUGCGAAAGCGGUGCUAAUACCGAAUGACAUCUCAGGGACCUCGGUCUCUAAGAUCAAAGGUGGCCUCUACAUGUAAGCUACUGUUUGGAGAUGAGCCCGCGUACCAUUAGCUUUGGUAGGGUAAUGGCCUACCAAGGCUUCGAUGGUUAGCUGGUCUGAGAGGAUGAUCAGCCACACUGGAACUGACACACGGUCCAGACUCCUACGGGAGGCAGCAGUGAGGAAUUUUGCGCAAUGGGGGAAACCCUGACGCAGCAACGCCGCGUGAGUGAUGAAGGCUUUCGGGUCGUAAAGCUCUGUCAAGUGGGAAGAAUAUGCCCUGUGAUAAUACCAUGGGGCACUGACGGUACCACUGAAGGAAGCACCGGCUAACUCCGUGCCAGCAGCCGCGGUAAUACGGGGGGUGCAAGCGUUAUUCGGAAUCAUUGGGCGUAAAGGGCGCGUAGGCGGCCCCUUAAGUCAGAUGUGAAAGCCCUCAGCUUAACUGAGGAAGUGCAUUUGAAACUAAGGGGCUUGAGUAUGGGAGAGGGAAGCGGAAUUCCUGGUGUAGCGGUGAAAUGCGUAGAUAUCAGGAGGAACACCGGUGGCGAAGGCGGCUUCCUGGACCAAUACUGACGCUGAGGCGCGAAGGCGUGGGGAGCAAACAGGAUUAGAUACCCUGGUAGUCCACGCAGUAAACUGUGAACACUAGGUGUAGCGGGUAUUGACCCCUGCUGUGCCGAAGCUAACGCAUUAAGUGUUCCGCCUGGGAAGUACGGUCGCAAGGCUAAAACUCAAAGGAAUUGACGGGGGCCCGCACAAGCGGUGGAGCAUGUGGUUUAAUUCGACGCAACGCGAAGAACCUUACCUGGGUUUGACAUCCCGGGAAUCCCCUGGAAACAGGGGAGUGCCCUUCGGGGAGCCCGGAGACAGGUGCUGCAUGGCUGUCGUCAGCUCGUGUCGUGAGAUGUUGGGUUGAGUCCCGCAACGAGCGCAACCCUCACCGUGUGUUGCCAGCGGUUCGGCCGGGAACUCACACGGAACUGCCCCGGUAACGGGGAGGAAGGCGGGGAUGACGUCAAGUCCGCAUGCCCUUUAUGCCCUGGGCUGCACACAUGCUACAAUGGGAAGUACAAUGGGUCGCAAGACCGCGAGGUGGAGCUAAUCCCCAAAACUUCCCCCAGUACGGAUUGCAGUCUGCAACUCGACUGCAUGAGCGUCGGAAUCGCUAGUAACCGCAGAUCAGCUACGCUGCGGUGAAUACGUUCUCGGGCCUUGUACACACCGCCCGUCAAGCGAUGAGAGUCUGUUGCACCCGAAGUCGCUGGCCUAACUCGCAAGAGAAGGAGGCGCCCAAGGUGCGGCAGGCGAUCGGCGCUAAGUCGUAACAAGGUA
rnacentral:rRNA from 1 species